UUCCUGUACUUGGUGUUACUGCGAAGGGGGGACGGAGAAGGCUAUGUUGGCCGGGCGACGGUUGUCCCGGUUUAAGCGUGUAGGCUGGUUUUCCAGGCAAAUCCGGAAAAUCAAGGCUGAGGCGUGAUGACGAGGCACUACGGUGCUGAAGCAACAAAUGCCCUGCUUCCAGGAAAAGCCUCUAAGCAUCAGGUAACAUCAAAUCGUACCCCAAACCGACACAGGUGGUCAGGUAGAGAAUACCAAGGCGCUUGAGAGAACUCGGGUGAAGGAACUAGGCAAAAUGGUGCCGUAACUUCGGGAGAAGGCACGCUGAUAUGUAGGUGAAGUCCCUUGCGGAUGGAGCUGAAAUCAGUCGAAGAUACCAGCUGGCUGCAACUGUUUAUUAAAAACACAGCACUGUGCAAACACGAAAGUGGACGUAUACGGUGUGACGCCUGCCCGGUGCCGGAAGGUUAAUUGAUGGGGUCAGCGCAAGCGAAGCUCUUGAUCGAAGCCCCGGUAAACGGCGGCCGUAACUAUAACGGUCCUAAGGUAGCGAAAUUCCUUGUCGGGUAAGUUCCGACCUGCACGAAUGGCGUAAUGAUGGCCAGGCUGUCUCCACCCGAGACUCAGUGAAAUUGAACUCGCUGUGAAGAUGCAGUGUACCCGCGGCAAGACGGAAAGACCCCGUGAACCUUUACUAUAGCUUGACACUGAACAUUGAGCCUUGAUGUGUAGGAUAGGUGGGAGGCUUUGAAGUGUGGACGCCAGUCUGCAUGGAGCCGGCCUUGAAAUACCACCCUUUAAUGUUUGAUGUUCUAACGUGGACCCGUGAUCCGGGUUGCGGACAGUGUCUGGUGGGUAGUUUGACUGGGGCGGUCUCCUCCUAAAGAGUAACGGAGGAGCACGAAGGUUGGCUAAUCCUGGUCGGACAUCAGGAGGUUAGUGCAAUGGCAUAAGCCAGCUUGACUGCGAGCGUGACGGCGCGAGCAGGUGCGAAAGCAGGUCAUAGUGAUCCGGUGGUUCUGAAUGGAAGGGCCAUCGCUCAACGGAUAAAAGGUACUCCGGGGAUAACAGGCUGAUACCGCCCAAGAGUUCAUAUCGACGGCGGUGUUUGGCACCUCGAUGUCGGCUCAUCACAUCCUGGGGCUGAAGUAGGUCCCAAGGGUAUGGCUGUUCGCCAUUUAAAGUGGUACGCGAGCUGGGUUUAGAACGUCGUGAGACAGUUCGGUCCCUAUCUGCCGUGGGCGCUGGAGAACUGAGGGGGGCUGCUCCUAGUACGAGAGGACCGGAGUGGACGCAUCACUGGUGUUCGGGUUGUCAUGCCAAUGGCACUGCCCGGUAGCUAAAUGCGGAAGAGAUAAGUGCUGAAAGCAUCUAAGCACGAAACUUGCCCCGAGAUGAGUUCUCCCUGACCCUUUAAGGGUCCUGAAGGAACGUUGAAGACGACGACGUUGAUAGGCCGGGUGUGUAAGCGCAGCGAUGCGUUGAGCUAACCGGUACUAAUGAACCGUGAGGCUUAACCUU
rnacentral:rRNA from 1 species